rnacentral:rRNA from 1 species
UACGGGGGGGGCAAGCGUUGUUCGGAAUUACUGGGCGUAAAGGGCUCGUAGGCGGCCAACUAAGUCAGACGUGAAAUCCCUCGGCUUAACCGGGGAACUGCAUCUGAUACUGGAUGGCUUGAGUUCGGGAGAGGGAUGCGGAAUUCCAGGUGUAGCGGUGAAAUGCGCAGAUAUCAGGAGGAACACCGGUGGCGAAGGCGGGUCUCUGGGCCGUAACUGACGCUGAGGAGCGAAAGCGUGGGGGAGCGAACAGG